rnacentral:antisense_RNA from 1 species
CGUGGGAGGAGGCCAACACUCGGGGCGCUCCCUAGCCCUGGGUGGGUAGAGCGGGAGAAGCCGAGUAUGUUGGACCCGGCUCCGCCCUACCCCACGGGGCCGCCUGGAGAGGUGCUGGGAGCUGGGUGGAGCUUAAGAGGAAUUAAACUUUCGCCCUGCGUCUCGUCCAGCCUAGGUUCCACCCUUUUCUGGCAACGGUCUUACUCUGUGACCCACGCUGGAGUGCAAUGGCACCAUCAUGACUUACUGCAGCCUCGACUUCCCGGGCUCAAGUGAUUCUCACACCUCAGCCUCCCGAGUAGCUGAGACCACAGUUCACACCCCGCUACUCCUGAGUGCCACACACCGGCUUCCUCCCAGUCCCUCAUCUGAGAACUCAUGAAGCCACCUGGAAUCCCUUUCUGCUUUGCCUGGCUCAUUCCAUCUCAAUUUCAGAUCUUCGCUACAGGUCAGCUCCAAGGAGGAGCUCUCAAAACCUAGCUCUCAAAACCUAGCUCUUUUCCUUCAGAGCACUGGCCUCCAAUU